GCCAGACUCCUACGGGAGGCAGCAGUGGGGGAUAUUGCACAAUGGGGGGAACCCUGAUGCAGCGACGCCGCGUGGGUGAAGGAGCGUUUCGGCGCGUAAAGCCCUAUCGGCAGGGAAGAAGGAGGACGGUACCUGACUAAGAAGCCCCGGCUAACUACGUGCCAGCAGCCGCGGUAAUACGUAGGGGGCAAGCGUUAUCCGGAUUUACUGGGUGUAAAGGGGGCGCAGACGGCAGCGCAAGCCAGGAGUGAAAGCCCGGGGCCCAACCCCGGGACUGCUCUUGGAACUGCGCGGCUGGAGUGCAGGAGGGGCAGGCGGAAUUCCUGGUGUAGCGGUGAAAUGCGUAGAUAUCAGGAGGAACACCGGUGGCGAAGGCGGCCUGCUGGACUGCGACUGACGUUGAGGCCCGAAAGCGUGGGGAGCAAACAGGAUUAGAUACCCGCGUAGUC
rnacentral:rRNA from 1 species